rnacentral:rRNA from 1 species
GACAGCCAGGAUGUUGGCUUAGAAGCAGCCAUCAUUUAAAGAAAGCGUAAUAGCUCACUGGUCGAGUCGGCCUGCGCGGAAGAUGUAACGGGGCUAAACCAUGCACCGAAGCUGCGGCAGCGACACUUAUGUGUUGUUGGGUAGGGGAGCGUUCUGUAAGCCGUCGAAGGUGUGCUGUGAGGCAUGCUGGAGGUAUCAGAAGUGCGAAUGCUGACAUAAGUAACGAUAAAGCGGGUGAAAAGCCCGCUCGCCGG